rnacentral:tRNA from 1 species
AAGAAUUUAGUUUAUUUAAAAAUAUUAGAUUGUAAAUCUAAAGAUUAUUAUUCUUG